GACGAACGCUGGCGGCGUGCUUAACACAUGCAAGUCGAACGGAAAGGCCCUGCUUUUGUGGGGUGCUCGAGUGGCGAACGGGUGAGUAACACGUGAGUAACCUGCCCUUGACUUUGGGAUAACUUCAGGAAACUGGGGCUAAUACCGGAUAGGAGCUCCUGCUGCAUGGUGGGGGUUGGAAAGUUUCGGCGGUUGGGGAUGGACUCGCGGCUUAUCAGCUUGUUGGUGGGGUAGUGGCUUACCAAGGCUUUGACGGGUAGCCGGCCUGAGAGGGUUACCGGGCACAUUGGGACUGAGAGACGGCCCAGACUCCUACGGGAGGCAGCGGUGGGGAAUAUAGCACAAUGGGCGGAAGCCUGAUGCAGCAACGCCGCGUGCGGGAGAACGGCCUUCGGGUUGUAAACCGCUUUCGGAUGUGACGUAGCGUGAGUGACGGUAAUGAGUAAGAAAGCACCGGCUAACUACGUG
rnacentral:rRNA from 1 species